UACGGGGGGGGGCAAGCGUUGUUCGGAAUUACUGGGCGUAAAGGCUCGUAGGUGGCCAACUAAGUCAGACGUGAAAUCCCUCGGCUUAACCGGGGAACUGCGUCUGAUACUGGAUGGCUUGAGUUCGGGAGAGGGAUGCGGAAUUCCAGGUGUAGCGGUGAAAUGCGUAGAUAUCUGGAGGAACACCGGUGGCGAAGGCGGCAUCCUGGACCGACACUGACACUGAGGAGCGAAAGCCAGGGGAGCAAACGGG
rnacentral:rRNA from 1 species